UACAGAGGUCCCAAGCGUUGUUCGGAUUUACUGGGCGUAAAGGGUGCGUAGGUGGCGGGGUAAGUCUGGUGUGAAAGCUCCGAGCUCAACUCGGAAAAGCAUUGGAAACUAUCCCGCUGGAGGGUCGGAGGGGAGACUGGAAUUCUCGGUGUAGCAGUGAAAUGCGUAGAUAUCGAGAGGAACACCAAUGGCGAAGGCAGCUCGCUGGGACGGUACUGACGCUGAGGCGCGAAAGCGUGGGGAGCAAACAGG
rnacentral:rRNA from 1 species